ACGGGGCAAAAUUCCCUCUCUUUUUUCCCCUUGUUUCAAAUGGUACAGUUAGUUCCCUCUCUCACAAAUCUUUUAGCAAGGCUUGAUCCUCUCUUCAUCUUCUCUACGGAGCCGGUGGGGCAAUCCGAAGAACAACGGUGAUGUAAAUCCAUUGAGGGAUAAAUCCUCUACCAGUGCAAAGGUUUUAGUAUUGAUGGGCUGUUUUUAUAGCAUUGAGGAGAAGCUGCACCAAUUGAAGAACAUUUGCAGCUUUGAAUAUCAGUUGGAUUGAAGCAAAAAAGUGGUAGCCUUGAGAACAAGAAACAUGGUUGGCUCAAUGACAACUGCUAUAUUGCUCAACAUAGUGAUGUGGGGAUCGAGUGUGUUUCACCCAUGGAUGUAAGAGUAUCAUUAAGUGACAGC